UUUGCAACACAAUCCACCUGAUGAGUCACUGAUACUGUUGGUGAGAGCCUAAAUAAUCAUCAUUCCAACUAGAAGAAUGCUCGUGCUUGCUCUCUGUUGCCAUAGAAACAGUGCAGCUCCAGUCUCCCUGUUGCUUUGGUAACCCACCCCCCUUUCCUCACAUCACUACUGCUGGGGUAUUUUGCUGCCAAGAUAAUGGUCUCUAUUAUGGAUUGAAUGUUAAUGGGCAGUCCUUUCCCCCAGACUACACCCAGCCCCUUCUGCAGCUCCACAUUUGAAGGCCUUGUCUAAGUGGCAUCUCAAUGAGAUGGUAAUAGAUACUUGAAUCAGCUGGAGAGGAGCUGUAGUGAUGGGGGUGGGAGGGGAUAGAAGAAGCAUUCAGCUUCUAAUCUUGAAAAGGGAGGACUGGGAGCUUGGAGAGGCAAAAAUGAGGAAAUCAUCCAUUAGAGUGCCUCAGCUGUGUAUGAAGUCCUAAAGCCAUUUCUUCCAGUCAAUAAAAGGGCAUGGAAGUCAUCCAACAGCUGCUGGAGGGACUGUGCAGAGUUACGACGGAGACAGUGACUCCUCCAAAGGGGUCUCGAGGGGAUGCAUUGUGCUGGAGUCUCAAUCAAGUGCCUGGAAGCUGAACGUGAAAAACAGUGCUGCCAGGAUUACAGAGAUACUGGCCAUAAAUGCAUUCGUGGGCUCUCAAGAAGCAUUAGGGAUGCCAUGAAGGAGGGGCAUUUUUACUUUGUGUCCUACCAAAUUCACUUAAUUAUACAUUGCAAUGAGGAAAGUGUGGGAAACAGCAAAUCUGAUCUUAGUGUGCCUUCGACUAAUCCAAGCUUAUUGUUUGUGAGUUACUAUUGUGAAAUGAUCCCCUGUGCAUAUAAUGCAGUUAGCUUCAAAUAAAAAUCUGUGGCUUCAGACCUCUCUUCCUUCUUUGCUUCUUUUCUUCUCCCUUUCUUCCUUUCUUUUCUUCUUGCUCCUUCUUUCCCUUCUUCCACUCUCUCCCUCCCUUCCUUCUUGCUUUUCUCCCUCAUCUCUCUCUGUCUUUUAAAUCUUUCCAUUUUUAUUUCUGCAUAUGAUGCUGGGCUUCCUUCCCUGUGGCUCCC
rnacentral:lncRNA from 1 species